GGCUGUGCGGCUGUGAAAAAUUCCCAAGUGAUCAUAUCUGGAAACCAGUAGGUAAACAAGACAAACUAUCUAUGAAUAUUAUAUAUCUCCCCAAAAGAGGUUUGGUUUGUGAAUCAGCUGUAUUUACAAAGUACAACCUUUAUUUCGGUUGUUGGAUGCUUACUUAGAUAUAGUGAACUUAUGUACAAACAUAUGAAGAUACGGUAUGAUUGCCAAUGAGACGACUGUCAACCAUACACCAAAUGACUUAGAUGUAAGCAACAACUGAUAAAUAAGUCAGAC
rnacentral:lncRNA from 1 species